CUCUCUGUCCUUCGGUGGAGACUCCGGGAAAAACCUGCCUCCCAGUCUGCCCUCUCUCCGUCUGUCUGUGCUUGUUUUUCUACGUUUAUCCCUGUCGCUUUCCCCACUUAUUCUGCAGGCAUGGCGCGCCCCCAGUGCCGGCUUGGUGCCAGGGCUGGGAGAUCCGGGGGUGAAUCGUGAGCCCGGCCCACAGCGAGCUUGCAGUCUAGAGAUCAAGGCAGUCUUGUCCACAACCUGCUGUCACAUAAAGCAAAUGUAGCUGGUGUAGCACCAGGGGCUGCAAUCAAGUGCGGUGGGGCGGCAAUAGUGACCACGGAAAUAAUCAGAAUUGCUUUUAAUUCAGCUCCUACUAUAUUCCCGCAUCCCUGAGCCUCACAAUCAUCCUCCAAGGUAGGUAUUUUUGUCUUUCUCUAACAGAUGAAAACUCUGAGUUUCAGAAGAAUUAAAUGACAUCCCCCCAAAAGAGAGACAGUAUAAGAAUCCAAGUCAACCUGAGUCCAAAACCAGUGGCCCUUAACACUGUGUGGCUUUAUGGAGGACAUGGAGUUUAAGUUUACCUUCAAGGAUGAGCAACACUUUUCUUCAAGCAGAAAAAGAAGGGAAUGGGUGAACACGGUCCCAGGAUGUUCGCUUUGGCAGAUGAUUAGAAUACGUGCUGACUUGAUAGCCACAACUGUCCUGAUAAGAAAGUACGCCGGCCUGGCUGGGCAUGGUGGCUCACGCCUGUAAUCCGAGGAUUUUGGGAGGCCCAGGCGGGCGGAUCACUUGAUGUCAGGAGUUCGAGACCAGCCUGUCCAACAUGGUGAAACCCCGUCUGUACUAAAAAUACAAUAAUUAGCCGAGCAUGAUGGCAUGUGCCUGUAAUCCCAGCUACUCGGGAGGCUGAGGCACGAGAAUCGCUUGAACCUGGAAGGCAGAGGUUGCAGUUACUUUCCCGACAUUGCACCACUGCACUCCAGCCUUGGCGACAAGAGCGAAAUUUUGUCUCAAAAAAGAAAGAAAGAAAGCACUCAGGCCUGACCCAGGACCACAGCAGUGGACAUGGAGGGAGGAGGCUGGGGGUAGUUGGAUUGGUAUGAUAUGUCACUGAGUAAACGAAGGAAGGGACAGAAAGAGAACUCCAAAGUGUCAAAAGCCUGGACAACAGAGAGAAAGCAUCCUUGUCCUAUCAUUUAAAGCACCUGUUGGGCCAAAUAGGGAGCACCUUUCAGAAUCCAUGUGCACAAGAUCUCAGCAAUUCUACGUCCAAGAAUGUAACCUACAUCCAAGAAUGUACUGGAAUUUAAUUCCACAUCCAAGAAUCCCCAUAGGUAGCAAAGAUGUAUAUUUAAGGGUAUUCUCUCAGCUUUGUUUUUAUGUUAGGAGAUUGGGAACAACCUAAAUGCCCAUCAGCUGGUGACUGGCUAGGUUAACUAUUCACAAAUGGAAUACUAGGUAGCCUCCUAAAAGAGGAAAGCAAUUCUACAUAUCCUGAUACAGUGUGGUCACCAGAUAGAUGGCUAAGAUACAAAUAAAACAAACAAGUUGCAGUGUUAGAGUAUGCUAUGUAUCACUCCUUUUUAAGGACAAAAAGAGGAUAUACUUUAACUUUUUAAGAUACCAAAGUAUUUAUUUAUUUAAAAUUUUUUUCACAGAAUUGUUAUAGCAUGUAGAACCAAAAAUUAUUUACAAAUGAAAUUAUUCAAUGUCUGAGAUUUGUGUCAAAAUAAUGGUAUGGGGGUUUAGUGAGUAAGCAUGUAGGUAGAACAAGAUUGUCCAUGAGCUGAUAGUUGUUGAAGCUGGGUGAUCACCUGGGUGUUUUAUACUAUUUGGGUGUUAAACUAUUUUUUUUUCUA